UGGGGAAUAUUGCACAAUGGGGGAAACCCUGAUGCAGCGACGCCGCGUGAGCGAAGAAGGCCUUCGGGUCGUAAAGCUCUUUUAUAUGGGAAGAUAAUGACGGUACCAUAAGAAAAAGCCCCGGCUAACUACGUGCCAGCAGCCCCGGUAAUACGUAGGGGGCUAGCGUUGUCCGGAAUCACUGGGCGUAAAGGGUUCGCAGGGGGCAAUGCAAGUCAGAUGUAAAAGGCAAAGGCUCAACCUUUGUAAGCAGCUGAAACUGUAUAGCUUGAGAAGUGUAGAGGCAAGUGGAAUUUUUAGUGUAGCGGUGAAAUGCGUAGAUAUUAGGAAGAAUACCGGUGGCGAAGGCGACUUGCUGGGCAGAAUCUGACGCUGAGGAACGAAAGCGUGGGGAGCAAACAGG
rnacentral:rRNA from 1 species